ensembl:lncRNA
AUGGUGUCGAUACGGGCUGUUCCAGGAUGCACGGCCCUGCAGACCCAGCCUGGGGUCCUUGAAGUGCGGUUGCUGACUGACCUCACAGGAGGCAGCCCACGUGUCUGUCCUCUCUUCCACGCAGUGAGAAGCCUGAAGGGCAGCUUUAGGGACAUCACUAGAAGAUCCAUAGGGUCUAAAGCUGGACUUGUUGUUCCAUUGCUGCAGCCUGGAUGCUUCAAGGGCAUGAGGCCCCUCUGCAGAGAGGGAGGAGCACAGGAUGGGAAGAGGAGCAUUUUAGGGGGUCAAAAGUUUGGUGGGAAAUGUAGCAACCAUUAUUGUCUUAGGGAYGACCCAGCUGCUGCAGAGCUGUUGCCUGUGCUGGAUGGUAGCUCUCGCUGGCCAGUGUCAUUGUCUCUCCCACACGUGUUUCAGCUCUCCAGCGAUCCCAGCCAUCUCCCAUGUUCUUCAAGUGCUGAGGAGGCUCCUUGUCUGCUCUCCUGCCUGUUGUGUGGGUGGGCCUCCUGGCAGACUGGUUCAUCAUGGAAUUGCUCUCACUUGGACGCAUUUCCCAGGGUACACUGGAGGAGGAGUGCACUGUGCACUAAAGGACGUCUCUACAGCCAGCUACUCCGGUCUCCAUCUCCCAGACCAUGACAAGAGCUUUGAGUUCUCCUGGAUCUGGACAGGCGAAGCCCACUUGAAAGAUGKCUUUCUACUUAUGCUACCAGCUUCCAGACUGACCAUACAGGUUCAUGGGGGAGAUCCUGUUAUCUUGCAGCCAGCCUGCAUGCUGUAGAGGAGGUUGGAUGCUCUAAAUAUUUUUUAAAGACUACUACACCUGUAGAAGUGGAAAGUGUUGUUGUUUGCAAGGUAGCUUGAAAUCACUGUUAGCAUCAUUACAGACAAUGCAGAAGAAAGAACAUGUUUUGUGCUGUAUCUCCUAGGUAUCAYGUUCCCAGGACACUAACUCAGCGUUCUGACCAGGAUCUAGUUUUUGUGCAACCCCCUGCCUUAACAGAGGGGGAUCUUGGCUUGAGGAUCUACACUUCCUUUGGUGGCCUUGAGUCAAACGCAGAUCUACCCCUUUCCUUUGAAGCCUUUGCUCUUUAACCUAUUUAAGAAGAAGUUGUGAUUCUCUUUUCACUGUUUGCAUACAGCCUAAACUACUCCUAGGCUGGGAAGCGAUUGUGGAGUAAAAUGAUCUUUUCCACCUGACUGGCUGAUAAAUAGCUCUGCCCCAGAGCCUGCCAGCACUGCCUGGUUGCUAGGCCAUGACAAAGGAUGCUCUGGAUCCCAGACUUCAAGGGAAAGUUUUGCUGAUGAACUGAUAACCAAAAUGGCAGGCUGUUAUAAGCAAACAGAGGCAGUAACAGGAGUCUUCUCACGUGCCUGCUACACGCUGUGCUGGGCUUCCUUUCACUCCUCUACUGUGAGACCUCCUGCCUGGUCUGAUUGCAAAGCUGUCUGAAAACACUGACUGUUGGUCUGUCUUCUGGGUCUAUCACCUUGCUCCAUUAAUCGCCUCUKUUUCUAGGGAUGGCUAAAGCUCCCACUUGCUGAGUGAACUCAAGCUUAGGAAAUUCAACCAUGUUUUUACUCUCAGAGACCUGUCUCCCCACCAUGAUUUCAUUUUCUGGAUGGGACCAUUGAAUAU